rnacentral:rRNA from 1 species
AAUGAACGCUGGCGGCAGGCCUAACACAUGCAAGUCGAACGGAUCCUUCGGGAUUAGUGGCGGACGGGUGAGUAACGCGUGGGAACAUACCCUUUGGUACGGAAUAGCCUCGGGAAACUGGGAGUAAUACCGUAUGUGCUCUUCGGAGGAAAGAUUUAUCGCCAAAGGAUUGGCCCGCGUUGGAUUAGGUAGUUGGUGGGGUAAUGGCCUACCAAGCCGACGAUCCAUAGCUGGUUUGAGAGGAUGAUCAGCCACACUGGGACUGAGACACGGCCCAGACUCCUACGGGAGGCAGCAGUGGGGAAUCUUAGACAAUGGGGGAAACCCUGAUCUAGCCAUGCCGCGUGAUCGAUGAAGGCCUUAGGGUUGUAAAGAUCUUUCAGUGGGGAAGAUAAUGACGGUACCCACAGAAGAAGCCCCCGGCUAAACUCCGUGCCAGCAGCCGCGGU